rnacentral:snRNA from 1 species
GGAUGUGAGGGCAAUCUGGCUGCGACAUCUGUCACCCCAUUGAUCGCCAGGGUGGAUUCGGCUGAUCUGGCUGGCUAGGCGGGUGUCCCCUCCUUCCCUCACCGCUCCAUGUGUGUCCCUCCCGAAGCUGCAGCUCGGUCGAAGAGGAUGACCACCCCCGAUAGGGGAGGGCCGUCUCCUGGGUGAAGGGUAUGUAUACAAGUAGCUGCGCUCCCCUGCUAGAACCUCCAAACAAGCUCUCAAAAUCACUCAAGGAUAAUCUACAGCAGGAGAGGAAACUACGUUCACCUUAGCCAGUUCUGACUUUAUUUUUCAUGGUU